ACUUGUCCACACUGUGCCUGGCCGCCUUAAGCACUCCUGGGUUAUUGGUCUUUAUUGGUUUGGGAAAUCCUGGUUUCACACUGGAGUUUAAAUCUUUGGAACAAAAAUCUGAAAGAAACAAAAGGACCAGAAGAAAACAUUGAUGUCAGUGGAAUACUGGAUCAGUGGGUCGUGCCUCAUCCCUGGUGGUACCCAAGUUCUCUCAGCUGUGUGGCCCUCGCUCCUCCUCCACCGUCACCUGUGUGCCUACCUCCUAUUUACUCCACCACCUGAAUAUUGUGCGUCCUCAUUAUGUUCUUUACUUGAAGUUGAGGACAGAUGCCACGGAUAUAUAUAGUAUAUAUAUAUCCAAUAGUAUAAUUCCUGUCCCCUAGUCCCUGCUUACACAGCCUUUUUCAGAACCCAGGUUUAUUCUCAACAUGGGGCCCCAGGCAGUAGAACUCCAGACAGGAAAUGUGUUAAUUUGCCCAGACUGGUUUUUGAGGCUGGCUGUACUCCCCACAGAAUCCCUCCUGCACUCUCACACCUCGUCAGAGUGGCCUGUCCAUGUCUGCUCAGGCACACCUUAAACACAGCCUGUGACUCCUGAGGUGCUGAUAUCCAUAUCUUCUCCCUCCCAGUGAAUGUUGUCCCUUGAGUUUUGGGUCCAGAGCCUGGUGUGCUGUGGGUGUGAGAGCGUGGUCAGCUGAUUGCCACCUAGACCUGUUUUCCUGUACCAAGGAGUUCAUAUUUGUGUGUAAAAAAUGGGGGAACAGUAUGAGGGGCAUCUAUCUUACAGCCAGGCAGAACUUGGAAUCCUAGCUUCCCACUUGGGACUCCCUGCUCCCGGAGGCAUGGGGCUAACUGAUCCUGAAGAGCCACCUUCCUGGAGACCCUGAUUCAGUCUCUUGCCCAGCUCAUUCAUGGGAUCAGUUCCCAGCAUCCCAGAGGCGGGGUGGCUGCAGCGAGGGGAACAGGGCUUGGCCAGGCGUUUGCAUUUGGCCACGUAGCUUCAGAGUCUGGACUUUUUUUACUAGGAAAAUAAAAGAAUCAGUGAACCAGUAGAUGAUGCUUGCCCUGCUGGCUGGCUCCCCUCAUUCAGGUUCUAAGAAGCAAUGGAAACAGCCUUUUGCAGUGCUUCACUUAAGGUUCUCUGACAGAUCACUGACAUCCAGGAAGGACCUCCCUGUUGACCUGAGCUAUCUCCACCUCUCAUAUCCGGUGUGACUGGAGAUGUACCAACAGACCUGACCACCCCACUCUGGGUAUCACGAUUCUAGCGGCCAUACAGACAGACAGACUGCUCUAAAGACCAUGUUUGAUAUAAAGGCCGACUCCUUCCCUGGCCUUCGAUGCUGAAACCUUCCCCACAAAAGCUCCACAGAAGCCUCCUGCCUUCUGAUUCUGAGGUGGCAUCUACCUACAGUAUUCAUUCCUAACUCCCAGGUCAAGGUAAAAGGCAUUUCUCCCUCCACUUCCACUGGGCCUUAAUGACCACCCACUCAGUCACUGGGAUGGGGGAGCAUCUUGUCCUCAAAAGGAACUUGGGAUCUACGGUUGCUAUAAUAACACAGCCACAACAGCAGCCAGCACUUGCCUCUCGGUGUCUAGCUCCAGGCAGUCAUCAGCACACUAACAUCUCAGCAAGGUCUUAAAAAGAUAAGUUUACCAAUCUAAAGCCCUCUAUCCCACCCCCCCCCCACCCCCCACUAGCCUCGAGCUUUUCGUUUUUAUUGCAUUUUCGUUUUUACUCACUUAUUUCUGUGUGUGAGCAUCAUCUAUAGUCCACUAUCUGCAGCCCACUACAGGUCUUCUUAUGUGGGCCAAGGGGAGGGUGGUAAAGUAGAAAAGUCAUGGUCUGUUGGACACCUGUCCUUGGGGCAUCCCAUUGUGUGACCAAGCAGGGUCUCCUGGCAAAAGGCUCCCAAGCUAGAGACACAAGAUUCAGUUACAGCUUAUCAUUGCUGCCAGGCUUCCUCGGCACGGGCCACUAAAGCCCUUUAUCCUAAGAAAAAUAACAUGCCGCUAGUGUUCUUGUUCAAUAGGGCUUUGGGACUGGGUCUGGUCUGUAGAUUGCUCAUAGCUGGAUCCUACCCAGUGACCUCUGGACUGUCAGCAUGCUCUCCAGCCCUUUAUGAUGUUCCCACAGAAGCCCGAGGAAGUCUGAGGACUGGGAUGGCGAUGGAGUAAAUGCCAGGCUCUGCCCAGCUGCAGGUUCUCACGGAGUAGCCCUGGCUUGCCUCAAACACACAAACCUUCAUCUUCUCCCAAGACAUGUGAUGCUGAUCCAAGAUCCAAAAUCCCAUGCCUGGCUGAAUUGGACUAUUGUCCUGGGCUACAGGCAUACCUACCUUCAGGUGUGGCCUGGUGUUUAGAUCAGGCUGACCACAGCUGGAGACACUGUUUGUCAGGUCUCACCAUCUGUGCCAAGGAUCUCUUCCCCCCAUCACACAGAGAGUUCACUUCACCUGUUGUGCCCGUGUUGCAAGACCCCCCAGCAAGACCACCACAGAGCCAGUAUCCGAUGCAGUACAAAGGGGUUUACUAAAACUAGCAAGCCCGAACUUGGUCCACGUCCAACACACUGGCUGGUCAGGUGAAGGAGGACGGCCCUGAGCUCUCAGAGUGCAGGGUUUUUAAAGGGAAAAACUGCAGGCUAGGGGGCCCAAGCCUUUGCAUUUCAGGUCAUACUUCAGUUAACAGGAACAUUUAGCCAAGAGAAGAACUACAGAAGACAAAACACAUUUGGAGACUCUCCCAGUACCAUUGGAGACUUUGAUGGAUUAAGCCUUUGUUUUAGCUUCAGAACUAUGUCUUGGCCAGCAGCCUACCUACCCUGGGUGUGGGGGCGUGGGGAGGGUCCGCCUUGACCGGAGUCUUAGCUGGGUGUCUGUGUCUCUGGAACUUGGUUCAGCGUCUUAUCUUAGUGCUAUUAGGAAAAAAUGGAGUUUGUCUUGCUCUCUCACACCAACCACAUUCUUAUAAAAUAGCUUAAUUUAUCUAAUACCCAAAAUGAACUCCUGUUUUAGAGUUUACAGAAAGCUGCCAUUUUCUUUGAGUCUCAGAACACAGUUCAAAGCUGCUUAAAUCACUGUCUCCCUGGUUAAAACUCUAAUUACAGCUCCUUUGUUUUUGUCUAGACUGACAUGCCUCCAGUGGGUCACAGGGAUAUGGCACGAAAUUCAAAAGAGUGGUUUGUGAUUGCAAAUAAACUCAAAAACAGCUAAUGCUGCUGGAGAGAGGAAAUAAGAGGUGAUGUCUAUUCUUGGUUGUCAGCUUGACUAUAUCUAGAAUUUACUAAGUCACUGGGUACACCUAUUAGGAAUUUAUUUCUUAAUUAGGUCAUUUGAAGUGGGAAGAUUUACUUCUAAUCCAGAUCUUUUGAGGUGAGAAGAUCCACCUUUAAUCUGGGCCUCACCAUUUGCUGGCAUCCUAUUUAAAGAACCUGGAAGAAGGAACCUCUCUUUGCCUGUUUGCUCUCUCUGGCGAGUUCAUUCCUUCAGGACAUUGGAACCUACUUCUUCAGGAUCAUGGUGUGAUAUCCAGCCUGUAGGUCAUUCUCAUAAAUCCCAUAUAUAUUUAUUGUUUAAAUUCUGUUACUCGAGAAAGCCCUGAGUAAUACAGAAGGAAAGAGGAAGACACCACAGUGAAGAUCUCACUCUGCACAUAAGGUCCCCAGGGUGGCAGCCAUCAGGCCACCUGUGUUACCUAUGUCUGGACAGGUGUCACAUGUCCAUUCCUCACUCCUGGGAAAUGAACAUUCCCAUGGGGAUGAGAGAGCUCAGAGAGCCCCAUUCAGAUUGCUGUUUACUUCUAUUGCAGAUGCAGGUCGUGUACCAAAGGAGAGCUGGCUCCCACUUCCAGUCUCUAUUCCUACAGAAAGUCAAGGUCAAGUGAGCCUGUGCCCUUCUGCUCCACGGGAGGCUUUUGUCCUCCCAGUUGAAGUCAUUGGUUCAACCCGCUGGACUGUGGUGGUUCCCUGACUAUCAUCUGUUCCCUCUCUGCAGGGAGUCAGCCUUUGCUCAAGUCUCCUCUGGAGUAGUGUCACAUGUCACACAACACACACCUAGUGGCUUUUUCUCUUCGUCUGUUAGAUAGCUUUGGGAUGUUUGCUCAUACAUGCCUGGCCUUUGGCUUCUCUGCAAGAGCUUUGUGGCUUUUUUUUUUUUUUUUAAUUUAAAAGCUGCAACAUUGUCAUUUUCAGGGAAGCCCUGACAUCUAGUGGCUGUUGUUGUCAAGGUAAAACACAGCUCGUUCUCCACAAGGAGCAACAACAGUUUGUUUGAAGCCAAAUGUGAGUGACUCUGCCAGGGAACAUGGAUUCAGGUCGCCCUAAGUGACCAGGUGCCUCCCACGGUUAGAUAACAUUUGUAGUUACAGAGAAAAAAAAAAAAGAGUCAAAGAUGGGCGGUGGUGGAACACGCCUUUAAUCCCAGCACUCAGGAGACAGAACCAGGCGGAUCUCUGUGAGUUCGAGGCCAGCCUGGUCUACAGAUCGAGAUCCAGGACAGGCAUCAAAACUACACAGAGAAACCCUGUCUCAAAAAAAAGAGUCAAAAGUCAAUGCAGUUAUGAGAUAGGUUGGGUAAAUGGGAUAUGGCAGAGUGGGGAAGACUCGGCUACAGGUUUCACAUGCUAUUGGACUUUCAGGUUGGUGACAGCUAGGAGUUUCCCCGUCCACUGCAAAUAUCUGACCUAAUUGUCACAAAGAUACCCAGGCACAUACAAAGGAGGGUCAUUGAUGUCCAUGGAAAGGACUGACGAUGGCCAAAGACGCUUUUGGCUUUCAACUGUAACACCCCACUUCUCAAGAAUCAUCACAUUUUAACCAGUCAGUCAGUGGGCAGACUCUUCAAGACAGAUGUGACCUUUCCAGAGAACUUAGUCUCACAGCAGAUAAGGAAGUCAUCCUAUAAGGCCAGAGCCACAGCAGCGUUUCAGGCAAAGACUCCAUGGUAACAAGGGACCUACAUCAGUCCUUCCUAAAGAUGGCACUGAUUGGCUUAAUCUUGUCCCAGUGGAUUCCAUCUCUCAAAAGUCUGACUGUCUCUGCAUUGCCAUGCUGGGGUCUAGAUUUUUUUCGUCCAUAUCCUGUCACCAGGUUGCUGCCGCUCUAAUUUUCUGUGAACAAAGUGUGGAAGAUUCCUCAUUUGGUCUCUGUGGACCUCAUGGCCACCAUCCAACAUAGGUUGUUAGUUGGAAAUUUUUCAUCUAUUAUCACCACCCCUAUUUGUGUUAGGUUUUUACUUGUUAAAGCCAUGGUGGCCCUUGUUAUCAUCACCCCCUUCUUUAUACCAGGAGAGCAAAUACUCAAUAUUGACAUCAACCAAGACCAAGAAUAGAAUCAGGGGAAAGGAACUGAUCCAACUGAACAGUCAUCCCUUCUAUCAGACCUUAAUUCCCUAUAGAAAUUUCAAACUUCUGAGCUGGGAAGGGAGGCAUUGAGAAAUCCUACCUUCCCCCCGCCCAGUAGAACCUCCCUUAGUGGGAACCUUGUUGAGAAGGGAGGAUUUUGGAUGUCCUUCUGACACUGCUCAUUUCUUUCCUAACCUGAGGAGAGAGGGAUGAAGAGGAGCAGAGGCUGCAGCCGGGGCAGAUGGUUCAGACACCCGUGACUCUUGGGACAAGAGAGCAAGAGAGGUGACCAAGGGGAUCCCAUGUAGAAGGUAUUCUCUCCUCUUCAGUCAUUUUGAUGCCUUUGUUGUUUCAGAAAAAAAGAGGGUCUCACAAGUCCCUUUCUCCAGCAAAGAGCAUAAUCCAUUUCCGUCUGACUCACGGGGCUUUUUCACUAAGAUAUUCUAGGAAAAGCUGACACACCCAGUCUUCACCUGUUGUUCCUUCUCCCCUUUUGUUCAAGGGUUGUUUUCCUAAUACUGGGGCAUGUGCUGGAAGACCAUCAGGGGGUUAUUGGUAUUGGUUCAGAUCUUUCUACACAUCCCUUUACCCAAGGGGAAGCCAUGUUUCCCAUCCCAAUCCCGUGUCUGUUAUGUUUAGACCAGAGACUCAAUUCUCCUUUUCUAUGGCUAAAACACCGAGAAAGCAUCAAAGUGGCCCUUCUUAGUUCCUAGUGCAUUGGUAGAAACCUCAGAUAAGAGUCCCUGUGCACCACCUUGUGCCUUAUGAACAUAUCCUGGAGACCAGUCCCGUCACAUCACAGGAAGAGCUGUCUUGCACUCAAUUCCUCCAUCUCCAAUUGGGUCCCUCACAGGAGACUGGAAUGACAGACUGGGAAUUCACACUAACAUUACCUUGGAUUAUCUUUCUCAGUCACACUCACUUUUCUGUCUCUUGGUUCAGGAGUAGUCUUCCUGGAACCUGAGCAUUCAUUCACCCCCAUGGACUAUCAGGUAAAGGUUAGCUGGAGACUCCUCAUUUCUCCCUUUCCUGGUCCUACCUGAGUUACUCAGCAUCCCUGCAUUGGACGUCUCUUGUAUUCCACCUGGACCUUUGUUUCACAUUUUUUUUUAAUAACUCAUGCCUGCUGUCUCAGUCACAUUUUCAGCCUCCACCGGAGUCCAGCCACCAAGGAAGUACUUUACACUCUGGGAUUCUUACUUUGCUUCCUGUGUAGGGUGAGCAUUUGGCCACUCAGCUUUUAGGUGUCCCUUGGUCCCUGAUCCAGGUAAUGUCUCCUCUCCCAGGGCCAUAGCAACAAGGAUUCACCUUCUAGGAUGAGAAUAAGUUCCAACAACUCCUAGUCAUGGUGAGAGAGUCCCACACCAGGAUGUAAGAAAUGACCCUGGAGAUGUAAGAGAAUGUAGCUGGAGUUUUUCUGGUCCUGCCUGGCCCAUGGUCAGGACAAAUCUCUCUUACCCGCCAGUCCGACAGCUGCUCAGACUCAACCGAGUAAACACACAGAGACUUAUAUUGCUUACAAACUGUAUGGCUGUGGCAGGCUUCUUGUUAUCUAAUUCUUCUAUCUUAAAUUAACCCAUGUCUAUUAGUCUAAAGUUGCCACGUGGCUCGUGGCUUACUAGUACCUUACAUCUCGCUUGUCAUGGCAGUGGUUGGUAGUGUCUCUCUGCCUCAGCCUUCUACUUCCCAGAAUUCUCUUCUCUGCUUGUCCCACCUAUACUUCCUGCCUGGCUACUGGCCAAUUAGUAUUUUAUUUAUUAACCAAUCAGAGCAACACAUUUGACAUACAGAACAUCACGGCAAGAGAACAACCCACAAUCCCAAGUAUUUUGACAAGCCAAAAAGUUUUACUUCUGCAGAAGGGUGUAGAGCCCCUCUAAGCCUAGCAAGCACUUCUAGAAUGGACCCAUGGAGUUAUUAUUCCUGAUGCAAAGGGAUCCUGUGGCCAGAGCUGGUCUUCCCACUCUUACAAUCCUUGCAUAGUAGGCUAGCUCAAAUAGCACAGCUGAUAAGCAAGGAGCAGGAUGCAACCUGGAGCCCAUACUGUUAGCUUAGGAAAGUGCUGGCUAGGGGGUGAAUUUGCCAGCUGGUGUUUUGACUAAUCUCUGUGAGGAUGGGAGUUUCUUGGUCUCCUUUAACCCUUUGAUGGAAAAGAUGUCCAUUUCAUUUGUAUUUCCCACAUUCUUAGUUCAGUUUUAAUGGGUCAUGUAUGUGUUCAUUUUUUCCAAGGUUUUCUAGUUUAAUGGAAUAUAAACUUUUAACCUAUUCCCUAGUGGUUCUCUGGACUUCAGUGACUCCUGUUGUAAUAUCACUUCAGUAUCUACUUUUGUUAAAAAAUCUAUUCCUCUCUUGUUUAUGCUUUUUAAUUUUAUCUAAAAUGUGUCUUUUUUUUGUAAUAAGGGACACUUUGUUUCUUAGGUCUUUUGUGUUCUUUGAGUUUCCAUUAUUUUUUCUUUCAUCUCUGAUCAUUAUUUCUUCUUUCUAUCAGCUUCCUUGUGUCUCAUUUCCUCUUGGUUUUCUCUUACCUUGAAGUCUACAGUUACAUGUUUCUUUGAGAUAACUUUUUUUAUCCUUUGCUGUACUCAUCCAAAAGUACUGUUACUUAUGUAUUAAGUAAAUUUUAUUGUAAAGAACUUGCAAAUAAAAAACAUAUCACAGGGAAAUUAGCCACACUCAAAGUCCACUCAUCUCAAUGAGCUUUUAGAAAUACUGUGAGAACAGCCAAUCCCAAGCUGUGGAACUUCACAUUAUAUUUUACACUUUUGCUAUCAAACAUAUUUCUAUGCAUUUACCUACUGUGGUGGCUUAAAAAAAAUGGCCCUUAAUGGGAGUGGCACUAUUAGAAUGUGGCUUUGUGAAGUAGGUGUGGCCUUGUUAGAGGAAGUGUGUCACUGUGGGGGCAGGCUUUGAGGUCUCUUUUGCUCAAGCUUCCCUCAGUGUGACGAUCAGUCAACUUUCUGUCUCCUCUGAGUCAAGAUGUAAAGACUGUCAGCUCCAGUACCACAUCUGCCUUGCAGGCCUCCAUGCUCUCCGCUGUGAUGAUAAUGGACUGAACAUCUGAAAUUGUAAGUGAACCACCUCAGUUAAAUGUUUCCUUUAUAAGAGUUGCCAUGGUUGUGGUUUUGUGGUUUUCCUUCACAGCAAUAAAACCCAAAAAAGAUACCUACCACAAAAAAAAUCGAUAGCUCAAUUAAAACAAUCGUAACAGUUAACUUUAUCACAUCUUUCAUGGUUUAAAUGUCUGUUAUCUGCAUUCAGACCUUUCUUAUCACCUAACAUUUGCUCUUUCUUGUUAUACUCUACCUGUUUAUAUGUUUGCUUGUGUUUGUGUGUGUAUACAUGUGUAUAUAUCACACAAACUAGGAUCCACAUCUGAGUAAGAAUAUGCAGGAUUAUUCUUUCUGAGACUGUGUGACCUUUCUCAAUAUUAUGAAUUCUUAGUACAUUAAUUUUCUGUAAAUUUUGUGAUUUUAUUUUUCUUUAGAGCUUACUAGUAUCCAGUUUCACACAUGGGCCAGAUAUUAUGUAUUAAAUGUGACAAACAACUACGUUGGUUCCAUCUUCUUGCCAUAUUCUAUCAAGGAAUAAUAAACAUGGAGGUGCAGAUACCUAUGGUGUUCACCUACUGUCUCUAUUUUGUGAAUUUACUGAGCAUUUCUGGCCGAAGUGAGGAACUGAUAAUGAAGAGGGGGUCUCAAAGCAAAUCCCUGCAAUGCAGAGACCCUUGAGAAAAUUAUAAGAUUAUCCUGAAGGCUGCUUGGGUGAAGUUAAGGUAUAUGGAGCACAAUGUGGCAUUUCAAUCCCUGUGCACAAGAUGUCUUGGCUAAUAGAGACAACUUACACUUUCAUAUCAUCAUUACUGUGUGUGCAGCCUUCAAGUUCCACUCUGGUUCUUACGCACUAUAAAGGCACACGUGGCACUGUUGAACACUGGUUUAUCACGUCUAUCUAAUGGCUACUAUGAGGUGAGCAGCUUUAGCAUGAGGUCACCACCAUGAGCUUCUGCUUCUGAACAGACCCAAAGUAGUGUGCUCACUGACCAUGAACUGAAACCUCUAAAACUCCAUAGAACACAUGGAAGAACUCUAGAAUCAGGCCAUUCCUGAAUGGGUGUGUAGAGCAUUGUCUGAACACUGACUUUCAAAAGAGUAUUAGAAGUCUGCAUCAAGUUCUUAUUUGAGAGAUGAAGAAGUUGAGACCCAGAAAGAGAAUCAAUUGUCAGAGUUUUGAUCUCAUCGACACCCACGUGAAAGAGUGCACAGAAGAUGGCGUCUCUUUUCCCUGCCUCCACCCUCACGGUUGCAAUCACACUUGGGGGUCAGGGAGACGACAUCUCAGGCAGACAGAGGUCAGGCAGAGGAAACCUGAAGGUGCCACGGUCGCCGAUCAAAAGCCAGACCUCAGAACUUUCCUUUGGAAUCCUUUUGCUGCAUCUCGGUGGUGAAGUGAAAACACACAGCUUCCGGUCUGUGGGAACAGAGGCUGCCAAGCUCACCUCUUUCUGUGGAGCUUUCAAAGAGCACACUUCUCUUCUCUCUGGAGAUGAAAGGAAGGUUGUCACAGCUGUGUUGUGAAUCAAAAUUUUUCCAAGGAGAGUUUUCAGCUUUCAAGCAUACGUUUCUCUCAGUGUAGCAGUUUCCCCAGUUCCCUAGUAACAGCCUCCAGGAUCUCUCAAAGGCUGACAGGAACUUUGGGGACUGAAGAGCGUCGGGUGCUGAGUGUCCUUGGCUGAACAUUUGAACCAGGUCUUUUCUUUUUUGUUCGUGGGGUGAGAUUUUCAAAUGUGGAAAGCAGCCUUUGGGUUUUUGGAAUACUCCUUUGUAAGAAGAGGAACUAUUCUAUGGAGUAGAAUCUAUACUUCAACUUUGAGCACCUCAGUUUUCUUGUCAAAUUUAAAAAUAGCUUUCCCAUUUACAUACCUCGUAAGGGCAUUAUUAAUGAGAUCAGAUUUAAUCAGAUCUAAGAACAUCUGCCUAACACAGUAUUUUUCCCCAAACAAAUAAUGUUGAUGGAAAUAAACAAAUACAUAAAGUAAAAUACCUGCUUUAAAAUAAAUAUUCAAAUACGGAGGGAGUUGAAGUCAUGUGGACGGCAUGAUACAGGGCUGGAAUGGGAACCACAUUUGCAAUGAGACAGCAGUCACUGCUGCUCAGGAGGCCCUGCGUCACGCCUGUCCCUUGUGUUGUCUCACAGUGCUUCUGUACCAGGUGUCUGCUUCUCCCACUGUGAAAAUGAAGAAAGUUAGGCUCAGGAAUGUUUGAUGAAGUGACGUUGGUGAAUUGGGUUUCAGAAUUCCUCAUUCAUGUCUGCCAACCCUAAAUCACACACACACACACACACACACACACACACACACACACACACACACACACACACACACACACGUCAAUUGUGUAUGAGGCUGGAUACAUGGCUCACUGGAUAAAGUGCUUAAUGCACAAAUGUGAAGACCAGAAUUUGGAUACUCAGCACCCACAUAAAACCCAAAUGGGCACAGCUUCCCUGGUAGAAUCCCAGCAUUCAAAAGGUGGAGGCAGGGGAUCCCUGGAGCAAGCUUGGUAGGUCAACUAGGAGAAUUUGUGAGCUCUUGGUUCAGUGAAAGACUGUGUUUCAGUAAGUAAGCAGAGAGCAACUGAGGAAGAACCUGAUGUCAACCUCUGGCCUACACACACACACACACACACACACACACACACACACACACACAGACAUACACACACAGAAACAUCCACAAGACACAUACAUAGAACACACAUACAGACAGACACACAUGGGAACACACACACACGCACAGAUACACACACACACACACACACACACACACACAUGGGAACACACACACACAUACACACGCAUGGGAACACACACAGUGUGCACACAUGCACAAAUGUUUACAAAUAUGAGUAUACAAGUGUAUGGGCACCAUACACACACACACACACACACACACACACACACACACACACACACACACACAUUGUGUACUGUGUGCAUACACAGUUUAAGAUGAUUCGAAGUAGUUUUACCCCUCUCAUCCUGAGAGCUGGAGAUUGCCAGUAUUUCAGUCAUGCCUCUGCUGCCUGCCACCCUCAAUGCCUCCCUCCCUAACGAACAACCACCACCUUGAAGUGUGUGUGACCCCCAGAUAAGGAGGACACAAAAAUCACUCUGUUGUUAGAGGAGGAGUGGAGAGGGUCUCCCUGACAACAAUCCCCAGGAUUCAUAAUUGAAUGCUGUUGCACUCAGCCCAUCAUUACCAGGCAGCUUUCAUUCCUGCCUCUCUGGUCCUCCUCACAUUAUGACAGGCCUCUCACUGAAGUUUGGACAGACAACAUAUUGCUCACUGCCCACCGAGAGAGAAAGCACGGACUGUGUAUAAAAUCACAAAUUCAAGUUAAUCAAAUUCAGCACACAUCCAGCGAAAGUCUUUCCUGCACAUCAUUCUAGACACUCGGGCAGCUCUCACUGUAAAGGCAUUUCAUUGACCAGCACUCCGUGAUGCAGAAAAACAGAGAGCUCCAGAGGUGGGACCGGCAGGCAAGCCACUGUGGAAAUGAAAGCUUCAACCAAUGAGCAUUACCCACAGGCAGCAAACCCAGCCAACCCUGGGGAAAUCAAUGCAUUUCAAGUAAACUGGCAGAAAGAACGCUCGAGUGGAGUGGUUUUACAGUUUUCCUGCCGCUGAUGAGAGAUGGGGAGGAAGGGGAUGCCGCAGCCCCUGUCUGAUGAUGGUUUAUCUGCUGUGCUCCAGGUAGAAUCAAAGAGGUCACUGGUGUCACUGAAGAUCGGCAAGGGACAGCUGGAAGAUCUGAUAUGACAAUAAUAAUGACCAGUAGGUUAAGCCGGCACAGCUGGACUGCUGUGCACCGGCUGCAGUGUGGCCAGCAGUGUACCAGAUUCUUAUGUGUAAGGAGCCCUUGUGUGUGAUACAGAGGCUGCUGUUAUCCUCUGCUCAGUCUGGGGGUACAGCAGAGAGACCGGGGAUGGUGCUGGGUUCUCCAUGCCUUGGGUUAGUGGCUAAAGGUACCACAAGUGCUUCUGGGUUUCUGGGGCCUGAUUAACCUAUAUUCAAGCCCAUGUUGCCAUUUCACAUGUUCCUGGGCUAAUCUCUAGGAGCUGUGGUUUCACUUGAUUAAUUUUCCAACAAAUCACAUUUUCUGUUUUAGCUUUCAAACUGAAAAAUUGUUAUGCACGUCUUUGGUACAUAACUUAGAAGUGGAGGCUGCUUUCCCAGCCACACCAUCAUAAUUCAGGAGUGCUUCCAGGACAACAGAGCUUAGUCCAGAGGAAGUCUGUUUCAGAUGUGAUCUGCAAGUGAACACUUGUGGGUUUUCAAAGUGUGCAGGUAAUCUCAGGAAUGCAAGCUGUCUCAGUGCUACUCAAAUCUUAGCUGCAAACGUCCAUGCCACACAUGUUCUUUGCAUUCUGCUAAUGGGGGUCUCUGCAAACAAAACCUGUGCCCAGUCUCUUUCCCAGGGCUGGGGGACAAGUGUUCUCUGUGCUGUGAGUUCUGGGUAAAUUUGGCAAGCCUGUCAAACUUGUCUUCAUCCAGUGAGUUUGCAGGGGCCAAAUCUGUGAUUGCAGCCUCCAGGUAGUGGCACUUCUCAGAAGUGUUCUUACUAGGGAAGGGGACUAGGAGACCAGAUGGAUAGCACUAGGGAAUGGCUACAGGUCUCAGUGAAGUAACACAGAGGAAGAGUCUCAUGGAAGCUAUGGUGGAGGCUGGGUUCCCAUCCCUGAGAAGGAGGCUGGGGGCACCAUAAUGUGAUGUAUUGAGGGAUGUUAUAAUUGGUAUGUGGGCUGCUUGCUUUUCUAUGGAAAGUCACAUAGGGUUGACUGAAAGCCUGAGCUUUCAUUUCCCUAUCCCUUGUCCAUGGGUUUGGGGUAGGCUGGUUUCUCUAGGAAGCAAUACAUACAUACAUACAUACAUACAUACAUACGUACAUACACACAUACACACACUAUGUAUAUAUAUAUACAACAAUGUGUGUGUCUUAUGGGUUGUGACAGUAUCCUUUACCUGCCUUAGCAGAGCAGUAGGGAAGGAAGCUCAGCCAGUCAUGAUGGGAAGGCCGGAGUCCCUUUCUACCCACUUGGCUGACUUGGGAAAGUUGCCUUACAGAGAACCUUGGUUCUGCCAUCUGUGAAUGGGGCUGUGGCCCUUCUAGGGUGAUGCAGACCCUUCCUUUCUAGAGCCAUGGUUUAACCAGUGUGAGGGCCAUCAUUAUCUUAUUGCUUACCUUGUACUGCAAUUAAGAUACGUACAAGUAAAAGCAGGCAGAGCUGUGCCUUGGGCUGCUCUGGCAUUUGGCUUCUUCCUCCCCUCCUCUGGUUCCACUCUCCCACUUCUCUUGCUCUCCUGCUAAGCUGUGAAGCCUUUCAUGGGUCUAUGAGUAGAUCUCAGGCUCCCCGCAGCCAGGUGACCCUCUACUUGUGUGGUUGAUCCUUCCCUUAUGCUGCUUAAAUUGUAGUCUAUUCAAACAUGACUUCAUUUACAGCCUCCUUGGCCUCUGUCUAAAAGACAGACAGUUGUGACAAUGUCUCCAGACACUGACAAAUAUCCACAGUGGUGGAAAGUUGCCCCUGGUUUGCUGAUUUCGUUCUCUGUCACACCUUCAUACUGCUGUGUAUGUCUUUUGAUUCAUGCCCUUCUGGUCUUAUGCCUUUUCUUUCAAACACCCCAGUCUCUCCCUCUCUGGGAACUUGACUUAGACGAAUCCAGUCCAGGUGAAGUCUGGGGAGGGGUCCAGAGAAUGAUCCUUUCCCCAUCUGGAGUCCACACCUCCUCUAGGGUAAGCCACAGGACAGGGCAUGACAAGGUAGAUAGCUCCAGCUUUUCUUCUGCUGCAAGUUUAGCAAAGGGGUGCUCAACUGUGUGGGGGUGGGCACAACUGGGUGUCCUUGAUGCCCAAAUUUCAGUUAGACCUCAGUUGGGGACACCCAAGGCUAUCUCUGACUAUUGCUAGAAGGACACUGGCCUCAGUACUCCUAGAUUGAGCCUAAGCCUCGAUUCUGUCCUUUCCCCAGCAGGUGGCAUGGAGAACUCUUCACUGAAGAUAGGGACAAGUGUGGCAAAGUCCUGCUACAAAUGUGAAAUGCAAAAAUCGUUUUGCAAUUUGUUCUUCAAAUGCAAGACACAUGUUAUUUUAAAAGACCCGUUGCUAGGAAAUCCAAAAGAUGCCAUGUGAAGAGCUGAUUUGGGAUAUCGGAAGAAGCUGAAGAUUUUCUUGAAAUAAAACUAGAAGAGCUUCAUUUGUGAGGGUUCCACAUUACCACCCCACCCCCACUUCAUCGUCAACUGAGUUAUAAAGCUGAAACGAGCCUGAUCUCUUUUCUGAAUUAAAGACUGUCAGUGGUCAACCACUGCCUCUUACUUCUAAUUACCCAAGGGUCUCUUGAGGAAACAAAUAGGAAUGUUGUCUCAUGCUAACAGGAGAUUGCAUUUGCACAGCUCCUUGUGAAUGGAAGGCUAAUUCCGCCCUCAGUAAGUACAAGCCAAUCUUAACAGAUCCUGCCUACUCACCAGGUACACCUCACCAACCAGUGCAAUCAGAAAACAGAAGUUACUUAAAAUGUGUGGGAAUCACAUCCAGGUGACAAAGAUGUUAGUUAGUUUAUGUGACUUAGAAUAGCACCAAGCAUCUUGGCUAAACAUCUUGAUUUGCUGAAGAAAAUAAUUUGAACCUAAAGAUGGAUUCAUUAUGUAGCAGAAACAGAUACAAAUCGCUGCUUCUUAUUAAUUGGAAUCGUGAGUUAGAGCCAGGUAUCAUGAAUGUCACGAGCAGAGCACGGUGAGGACAUUAAGUCAUUCUACUUUAAGUUAGAGCUGCAUGCUGAUCCUGAUGUGUGGCACCUCUGUUCCCUACACACAGAUAUAUAGGUAUCAUACUGCUCUGCUUUCUGUCCAUCUAGAUUCAGAUCGUUCCCAAAUGACCUGACAUCAGUGAAAAGCAAAGUAGAUAGCUUUGGCGGACAUAGGGGCUGUGCUCACUGACACUCACUGGCAAAACACCCUGUGUUACUCUUUGCUUCCCGAUGUAUGCUUAUGUGCUAGGCAGACACGUAGACUUUUCUCUCGAGUCUUGAUGGAGGCAGACCUGAGCUCACACUGUGCUGGAGCAAAAGGCUUGGUUGUGAGAGAAGAGACUGGCUACAGUGCUCAGCUAAAGGGACUGUCACCGCCAGAGCUGGGAUAGGUGCAGUGGCUAUGGAAAGCAGUGGCCUGAUGGCUCAGUCACUCAGUGGAAUCCUGACAAGGAGGGAGGCAGAGAACCCAAGGUAUUGAUUCAGAAGUAUUUGUGGAAGCUUUGUGGCCUACAUAUCUCAGUUGUGCUGAUUGGGGACAGCUAAUGGGGCAGAUGUAUGUCAGGCAAUGGCAGUGCCUAUGGUGAAUGUCAAUGAGUAUGAGAGUCAGGACAAUACCAUCCCAUCCCAUCCCAUCCCAUCCCUGUGACUCAGCCCUGACUUCACCUCACUGUCACCUGGCCUUCCAAGGCUUUCUGUAAGAAAUCUGUCCUGCACACUGUUAUUUAAAAACAAAGAAAACCAUAAGAUAACAGGAACACUAGAGGUGACAAAACCCUGAGGAAUUAGCUCUUGACCUUCCUCUUGGAACCAAGGCUUGCUUGCCAGUUUUUGCCUCAAGAAGAUACAGGUCCACCUAUGAUCCUGAGUUGCCCCUCUUGCCAUUGUUAAGCUUUAGAAAGCCCAGGCAGGCAUCACCCCCUAGAAACGCCUCCAGCCUAAAGCCUCUUGCAGAAGACAACCACAUUCUGCUCUAUCAUCUCCCAUUACCCUGAAGGUUUCCCUUGCCAUGAGUCACUCGACCACAUAGAGCUGUGGAGCUCCUUGCCCAGUGCCCUGUCCCGGGUGCACAGGCAGCAGUACUCAGCCCCCAGUGUGGCCAAGGCUGUGGCUGCCAUGUCCCACCCACCCUUCAUUCCUGCUGCGACAGACAAUGCUCUGGGAUCCCAAGUCCUGCCUACAGAAGCUCUCAUCCCUGUGGCUUUCUCCACAUGGAGCUUUGACCUUUUCCUGGGGUGCUCAGCAGGCUGAUGUAGUUAUUACUCCAUUUACAAGCUUGUUUGGCAGGGUGUCAGCCAUCCUCAGGCCCCAUGUGUCUGUGAGUUUAACAUCCACUGUUAUCUUGCAGAGCUAAGACGCUAAGCCCAGGAGCGCAAAGGCCUCUGAUUCUGUGCCCCUUGGUCAGCUAAACUUAUCCUGAUGACCAGGGAUGUAACUAGUUGGGAACAUCGCAGCCAUGAUCACCCCUUCUGGUGCAUCUAAUAUUCCCAGUGUUUGAGAGCAGAGCAGAUGCACAGCCUGGACUCUUUUAAGAGAUAGGUCUACUCCACUUUCCAAAAGCUUGCUUGGACUAAGGUUCAGAGUUGCUAUGCUAUAGUUUAUUUGCACUUGAGUCAAGAGAUGUCAAUAUGCAUGGCAAUAAAUGUGCAAGUAGAAACACAAGUGUGUCCUCAGAAGAGACUAGAACUUUAACCAGACCACUAGAGCCUCAGAGCCUCUGAAAAUCAGAUCAAGUUUUGGCCAUGGCCAGAACUGUGGUGGCCAUUUAGCAUUUAUAUUCAAGGAGAUGAAACAAUUACUGGCAAAGGAGGGGUGUCCACUGAUGUUCUUCAUAUUCAGAGUUCAUUCUGCAUUCUAGGUGGCCUCUAGUGCUUUCAGAGGGCAGGAGUCUAGCCAGGCUUGAGGGAUGUUCUGCUUAGCAUGGAAGAGUCUGUUCAUGUUCUCCUACUUAGUCAUGUGGCCUGUCUGGAGGAACCGGGCAGCCAACCAGUAACUUCCAUGUCAGUACUUACAGAUAUGGUCUUUAUCAUCAUGUUCUUAGGACUCACUGUAGUUUCAUGAGGAUAGCUAGGAUACCUGGUCAAAUGGGUGUAGCUGGUUAUGUAAUGCCUGCUUAGAUCAAGGAAGGGCACUUGGAGGGUGGAGAUGCCUGGUAAGUUGAGAUACGCAUAAAAUGGGAGCCUAUUGUGUAUUCCAGAGACUUAAUACAGGAGGAAUUCUAGGUAUGGUUAACUAUCUGAUAAAUUGGGGACUCCAGUGUGAUGGGACAUAGGAUAUCACAGGAGACCCCAGUGAGGUAUGUGUGUGUGUGUGUGUGUGUGUGUGUGUGUGUGUGUGUGUGUGUGUGUGUGUAUGCAAUACCUGGUAAGAUGAGACACCUAGUAUAUGCAGGGUACCUGGUGGUGAGAAGGUAUUUCAUAAAGUGGGAGACCUUGUGCGCUGAGGAUAUCCAGUUAAGUGAGGACUCCUGGUAAAGUCAGUCUUCUCAAGCAAAAUAAAGAGUAAAUGAGAGAGGUGAAAGAGCCAUUUUUCAGGAAUGGAACAGCAACAUCUGGAGAAUCGAGUUGAUAUACCACCGCCAUCUUAAAGAAGGGAGCAUGGAAACCAGCCACUGGAAGAGAGACUUCCUAAGCAUUGAUGUCAUUUCAGGUCUCUCCAUCCUGCUCCCUAAAUUUCUGAUAAAGUCAGCUGGAAACAUAGAAAGCCGAACAUCUUCCAUGUCCUUAAGCAUUGUGUCUAUGUCUUAUGAGCUGUGUGAUCCAGGCCAUUUCUCUUGCCACGUGUUGCAGCUGAGGUCUAAGACAUGGACAAAACUGAGUAGACAAGGGUUGCUACUUGGCUUUAUAGGACUUUGGGAAAAGUAUUAUGUACUCUGGGUCUCUGCUUUUCAACAAUAUGGUUUUGAGAAUGACUUCACAAUGCUUGAAUAGGUUGGCAUGGAAAAGACACUUUUUCCUUGGCAGGGGCAAGGAUGUAAAUGCCAGAAGCAGCACUUUGUCCCUUGGGGUAAGCCAGGCUGGGGCUUUGCAGGUAUAGCUCUGCCCUCUCACAACACCUGCCUACAUAUGUGGUGUGGAGUAUGUUCGUUUCUCUGACCUGCAGUUUUCAUCCUUCCUUACUAUGUUUCUCUUAGAAUGCUGAUAUGAGGCUAUGUCCAUGUGCCCAAGGAUGGGGCUGCCCAUGCAGUAUUAGUCAGUGAUGGGAACAACAUUCAUGAUAAUAAGAUCCAAUGAAGUACAAGCUGCAGGAAGGUUGCUCUGCUUUGCAGCAGAUACUAACAUGGCCACUGAGGAUGACAUUCAGCCACUUCCCCUACAGUCACCACAGCCAUGCUGUUCACUGGACUGUUCUACCCACUAAAUAUGCUGAUGAGCCACACAGCCCCAAUCCAUUAGUUCCAAUUCUGCAUACAAUCACUUUUGAUCAUGACUAGUAUGAUGCCUGAAAUGGCCUUGGUCUCCUUACCCUGGAGAAAUAUGGAUGUAGUAGUUCUUGAGAAUCUAUAGCAAGGGCAGCAGCCUUAGAAACAAAGGCUCUUCCAUUUGGAAAGACAAAACUGGGAUAUGGUGGGUAGCUGGGCUAGCAUGAAUGAACUAACUUGCCUAGACAGACUGAAACUAUGUCUUUACCAAAUCUUAAGAGAUGGAAGUUUGGGCAUCCCUUGAGUUUAAAAUGCAUCAGACCAACACCCCUCCCUAUUUUAUACAAUGGUUUAUGAUGCUUAAAUCCUGAGAGGUUGAACUAAAAGAGAAAAUGAUAAAAAAUAUGCUAUGAAAUGGCCUAUGAAUAAUUCUGACAGUAACCAGAGCCAUGCCAUUUAAUGUUCCUACUUACACCCAUCACAGUUCUCUUGGCCCCAGGAAGUCUCCAGCAAUCCUAUGAAGUAAACCUUUCAAUUAUCCUGUCCCAGGGACACAGUUCAAAGUGUUACAGACAUCUGUCCAAGAUCACACAAUGAGAAAAUAGCAUGACUAAAUCUGAUUCCAGGUUAGGUUGACCUCCAAUCCUCUACUUUCUAUAUGGCCAGCUCGUUUAACUCUUGUUGGGGAGUGUUUGGGCAGCUUCUAUACAUUCUUCCUAGAACUAUGGCCUUAGAGAAUGUUCUGGAUUAUCUUUUUGAGAUGAAUGCUGUGUUUAACUAAGAAAAACAAUGCUAGUAAUUUUUAAAACAUUAAAGUUCAAGGUCAAGGUGGGCAGUGUCAAGUUGGAGAGACUAAACUUGUUGUUAUUAUUCCAGGCAGGGUUCUCACCUGUAGUAUCCACUGAAAUCAUCAGACUGAACUUCUGACUAGUUAAGUCAGUAUUUCUGGGGCUUUGAUGCCAGGAUCCCAUAGACUGGGAAUAUUUUAAAGCUGCAGGGAGAACUCAAACAGAGUGCCUCUGCAUCCUUUGAUGGCUCAAGAUGGACAUUUAAGCAGCUAGGGCUGUGUGAUUCAUGAUUCUUUCCC